rnacentral:rRNA from 1 species
UACGGAGGAUCCGAGCGUUAUCCGGAUUUAUUGGGUUUAAAGGGUGCGUAGGCGGAAUGCCAAGUCAGCGGUAAAAUCGCGGGGCUCAACCUCGCUCCGCCGUUGAAACUGGCGUUCUUGAGUGGGCGAGAAGUAUGCGGAAUGCGUGGUGUAGCGGUGAAAUGCAUAGAUAUCACGCAGAACUCCGAUUGCGAAGGCAGCAUACCGGCGCCCAACUGACGCUGAAGCACGAAAGCGUGGGUAUCGAACAGG